rnacentral:rRNA from 1 species
GAUGAACGCUGGCGGCGUGCCUAAUACAUGCAAGUCGAGCGAACAGACGAGGAGCUUGCUCCUCUGACGUUAGCGGCGGACGGGUGAGUAACACGUGGAUAACCUACCUAUAAGACUGGGAUAACUUCGGGAAACCGGAGCUAAUACCGGAUAAUAUAUUGAACCGCAUGGUUCAAUAGUGAAAGACGGUUUUGCUGUCACUUAUAGAUGGAUCCGCGCCGCAUUAGCUAGUUGGUAAGGUAACGGCUUACCAAGGCAACGAUGCGUAGCCGACCUGCGGGGGUGGUCGGCCACACUGGAGCUGAGACACGGUCCAGACUCCUACGGGAGGCAGCAGUAGGGAAUCUUCCGCAAUGGGCGAGAGCCUGACGGAGCAACGCCGCGUGAGUGAUGAAGGUCUUCGGAUCGUAAAACCCUGUUAUUAGGGAAGAACAAAUGUGUAAGUAACUAUGCACGUCUUGACGGUACCUAAUCAGAAAGCCACGGCUAACUACGUG